rnacentral:rRNA from 1 species
GAUGAACGCUGGCGGCGUGCCUAAUACAUGCCAGUCGAGCGAACAGACGAGGAGCUUGCUCCUCUGACGUUAGCGGCGGACGGGUGAGUAACACGUGGAUAACCUACCUAUAAGACUGGGAUAACUUCGGGAAACCGGAGCUAAUACCGGAUAAUAUCUUGAACCGCAUGGUUCAAUAGUGAAAGACGGUUUUGCUGUCACUUAUAGAUGGAUCCGCGCCGCAUUAGCUAGUUGGUAAGGUAACGGCUUACCAAGGCAACGAUGCGUAGCCGACCUGAGAGGGUGAUCGGCCACACUGGAACUGAGACACGGUCCAGACUCCUACGGGAGGCAGCAGUAGGGAAUCUUCCGCAAUGGGCGAAAGCCUGACGGAGCAACGCCGCGUGAGUGAUGAAGGUCUUCGGAUCGUAAAACUCUGUUAUUAGGGAAGAACAAAUGUGUAAGUAACUAUGCACGUCUUGACGGUACCUAAUCAGAAAGCCACGGCUAACUACGUG